rnacentral:lncRNA from 1 species
UAGCCAUGCUCGGGAGCGGUGCUUUCUGGGAACUGUGGUCUUCUUACGUCCUGGAGGGAUACCUAGGCAAUCCCCGAAACUACAAUGCCCAAAAUGCUCCAAGUGGGAAGCGCCCAGAGUGAAGGAGCAAAGGGGACUCGGCCGCCAUGUUAGGAGUACUGGGACGAUUCCGCGGAGCCGGGCAGAGGUUUUAGGGGAAUGAUUAACAAAGGCGUCCGAAGAAAUCGUUGUUGGAAGGUGGCCAAAGUGGAAAGAGAGGUUGCUUUGGCCCUGCAAGUAAGAAGAGAGAAGGAAUAGCCUGAAGGAGUAACACUAAAUUUAAAAUGACACUUUUUUACCAACCAGCGAAAGCAGAUGUUCAAAGGGGAUAUUGGCCAGAGUCUGUCACACUAAGAUGAGAAAUAUCCUUUCUUCCUGAAGGUGUCUGAUGUGUAAAAAUACUGAUAUACUUUGUGCUGUUUCCUCCCUUCCCUUUUGCACAUUAUUCUGAAACAACAUUAACUAGUUACUUUGCGUCAUUGAAGCACACAGGACUAUAUUUCCUGGCCUCCUUUGCAGUUAGGUGCAGCCACAUUACUGUGUUCUAGCCAUUGAAAUAUGGAAAGAAAUGAUCAAUACCACCUCCAGCCCUGGCCCAUAAAACUUUCCUUUCCAUUCUUCGUGCUCUCAUUCUUCCUUCAUCUGCCGGAGGAUUCAGCAGAACCAUUAGGUGCACAGAGCUCUUCUCUCCUCCCACUACUUCCAACGUGCAUUGAACUGUGAUGUGAG